AAUAUAGAAUUGAUAACUUUUCCACUACUGACUGAUUCAUAUGGAUUUUAUGGUUGAAAGUAUUAAGCAUUAUAACAAAACCCUAUGUUUGCAAGGCAAAGAGCAUGACUAUGCAUUGAAGUAAAAGUAAAUACAUACUAUGGAAACAGGAUAAGCAUAAUGUUCAUUAAACUGAAGUAAACCACACAAAUACCUCCUGGAAAAAUCGAGUCAGAUACAUGUUUUC